rnacentral:rRNA from 1 species
CAGCCGCCGCGGUAAUACGUAGGGGGCGAGCGUUAUCCGGAUUUAUUGGGCGUAAAGCGUGUGUAGGCGGUUUAUUAAGUUUAAGAUCAAAGCCCGGGGCUCAACUCCGGUUCGUCUUAAAAACUGGUAAACUUGAGUGUAGUAGAGGCAAGUGGAAUUUCUAGUGUAGCGGUUAAAUGCGUAGAUAUUAGAAGGAACACCAGUGGCGAAGGCGACUUGCUGGGCUAUUACUGACGCUGAGGCACGAAAGCGUGGGGAGCAAAUAGGAUUAGAUACCCUAGUAGUCCACGCCGUAAACGAUGAGUACUAAGUGUCGGGAAACCGGUGCUGAAGUUAACACAUUAAGUACUCCGCCUGAGUAGUACGGUCGCAAGGCUGAAACUUAAAGGAAUUGACGGGCACCCGCACAAGCGGUGGAGCAUGCUGUUUAAUUCGAAGCUACGCGAAGAACCUUACCUAGGCUUGACAUCCCCGGCGAAGCUAUAGAAAUAUAGUGGAGGUUACCCGGGUGACAGGAGGUGCAUGGCC